CACCCCCAAUUUAUGGUAAAACUCCCUUUGAGUGUUUACCGAUUGGGUUUCUGGGAAGGGGGUGGGGUGGGUUGCGGUGGUGGUUGGAGGUGGGUGGGUUUCUGGUUUUUGGGGUGGGGGUGGGGUGGGAUGCGGUGGUGGCCAGCAGUCAGUGGUGGCCAGCAGUCGGUGGUGGGCGUUGGGUGAUGGCGGUGGAGCAGAGCGGCGCGACGGUGAGGCUGUGGAUUAGGUCUCCGUAAUGGGGGUGGGGGUCGAUUUGCGGUUGUGGGUUGCGGUAGGGAUGAAGUGAGGUUGGGUUGCGGUGGCUGUUUGAGAAGGUUUGAUUUUGCAGAAAAAUUAGAUCUCUGGGUUUGUUUAUGAGUUCGAUUUCUGGAUUUUGUUUCCAGAUCUGAGAAGAGAAGCACAAAUUGAUGGAGCGUUGGAGGAUCACUUCAAGAGCUCAAGGAGUGUCUGAGGUUGUUCCUUGGUUCUUCACUGUAUCCGCUAGCUGUUCAAAAUCAAUCCCUUUUGAGUUUUGUAAUUAAUUUUGGCUUCACUCUCAGGUUAAAUUACUAGCUGGUACCAUUGUUAAAUUACGCCAUCGAGAGUGUUCCAGACCUGAAGGCUUACCUAGGUUCCAGGUUCUCCUUGAAGUCUAGCAUGAAGCCUCACGAGCUUAAAUUCUAGAGGGAAAAGUGUUAGAAUCGUUUUGAUAUUCUGUUUUUGUAUUGAUCUUGGACCUAAAACUGUAGAAUGCUACUUUUAUGUUGCCAACAGAUUGUUUCAGGGAUUUCCUUGAA